rnacentral:rRNA from 1 species
UACGGAGGAUCCAAGCGUUAUCCGGAUUUAUUGGGUUUAAAGGGUGCGUAGGCGGCCUAUUAAGUCAGGGGUGAAAGACGGUAGCUUAACUAUCGCAGUGCCUUUGAUACUGAUGGGCUUGAAUGAACUAGAGGUAGGCGGAAUGUGACAAGUAGCGGUGAAAUGCAUAGAUAUGUCACAGAACACCAAUUGCGAAGGCGGCUUACUAGGGUUUUAUUGACGCUGAGGCGCGAAAGCGUGGGGAUCAAACAGG